rnacentral:lncRNA from 1 species
ACCCUGGUCUGGAGAUGAGCCGAGAAGGACAGAUUUAGCUGUGUUCCCUGGUGAGCAUUCUCUUGGUUGUACUGCAUUUCUAGGUAUUAUCUCUGACUUGUAUUUUGGAAAAAAUAUUGAACCACAAAAGACCUGAUUAGCCCAAGCAAUCCUGAAAAAUAAAAGCAACGCAGGAG